UUGAAUAUAAAGAAAAGACGAACAGCUCAGUAACUCUUAUUUUAUUUGAUGUAUUAGGAUAAUAACUAUGUUAAAUUAUAGAUAAUAAUAAUACAAUAAGAAUAAGAUCUAUCAGUUAGUUGUUAAGGUAAUGGCUUAACAAGACUAUGACGGAUAACGGUAUUACUUUGUAAUAUUCCGGAGAAGGAGCCUGAGAGAUU
rnacentral:rRNA from 1 species